GCGAUCGUGGAGAAGUGGUUAACUCAACGGAUUGUGGCUCCGUCAUUCGCGCGUUCGAACCGCGUCGAUCGCCCCA
rnacentral:tRNA from 1 species